CAUAUUGAAAAUUAGAAUAAUAUUUCACAAUUUUAUUUUGUUUGUAUUUUUAAUCAAAUAAAUGAAUGAAAAUAAAUCUUACAGAUCCAAAACUUUUGAGCGGUAGUGUUUAUAUCUUAUGUCCGUCCACGACCAACGUGCCACAUUUAGUGCAAAUCACAUUUUGUCUGGAGUUUAAUGAUUGUUUUUCUCUAUUGAAACAAAUGAAGGACCGUUUUGAGGCUGUUCAUCAGAAACCACGUUCUCUCUCUCUCUCUCUCGGUUAACAAACAUUCACUGUUUCGGACUUACUGUCAUUUUUGCUUUGUGUUGUUUGCUGUUGUAAAUGUUGUUGCUGUUUACAUUAUUUAUCUAAUUUAUUACUAUCCUGUUUCUGUGUACAAAAGGGAAGAUCGGUCUGUCAGAGGAGAGAGAUGCAGAAUCGUCUCUCUCCUUCAUCUCCAUGUCAUCCCUCCAUCCCGUCCUCUCACGUCAUAUUAUUCAUCUUAAACAUGAAAUUCUGUCAUUAACCUUCUUGUCUAGAAACACUUUACGCUAGUAUGCAAACGUGCUCUUGUGCUAUUGAACGGAGAGAGUUUUCUUCGAAUGUGUGUGCCAUUUAACUGAAUGUGUUAUAUCUAGCUACUUGUAAUUAAACAUAUUGACAUUUUAACUUUAUAACUUGCGAUGAAACAGAAGUAGUGACAGAUUGUUUCUUCUGUAUUCUGAUGUGCAUCCGAGUGUAACAAAGUAUUGAAAAUUAAAAAAUGUUGUGAGGGGACUUGUUGCUAGGAUAUUGAGAUGUGGGCAUGGCAAUCAAAACUGUAUGCAGAUGAGCGUGAGCAUGCAGGGGCGGAGUUUAAGAGCACUAAGUCCUGCAUACAUCACCAGAAGUAUGAUGAUUUUGAUUAUUAUUAUUAUUAAAACAUUUAAAAAUGAAACAUACACAAUAAGAUCAAUAACAUUCAUUUAAAAAAUACAGUGAAUUUUCAUUUCAUGAAUACACUACACAACUUUUAAAAUCGUAACAGAUUUUUAAAACACUGCAUCUUAACCUAAUUAAGUUUAGGGAUAUGAUUUUGGAUAGGGUGUGGCUGGACAUCAAGCUCCGCCCAUUAAAUCCAGAGAGGAGGAGCUUGAUAUCAAUCUCCGCCCAUUGUCUCCGGAGUGUGUGUGACAAAUGAAAACAAUUAUUUCUAAAAUCAGCUCAAAAUAUAAAACAUGUCUGUGUCCAUCAUACACUUCCAGAAAUCAGUCAAAUGCCACCGAUUUUGCACCCGAUGUGACAUUGAAUUUGCACAUACAUUCUUACUAAAGCUUGCUAGUUAAAAAUUGGACAUGAACGACCUCUCAACUUCAAGUCAUAUUAACUACUGGGAAGCUUGGGGAUCAUUUUGAUACCCAUGUUCCCGAGUUGGGCGGCCAUAAACUUUACACAUGGUGGAGGGAAGAAUGAUUGCUGCUAUGGUGGGUUUUUUUAAUUCAUUUUUUGCCAUUAAAGUAAGUGCAUAUCUACAUAAAUAAUCAACUGAAGCGUAUUGUAUGUUUUAUACACCACAGAAAUAGCCUGAAUUUCCAGAAUUCUAAAUCUUUGUUGUUGUCAAUGAAUGGGAUGCUAAAUAUUAUUUUGGCUAUAAUACGUUUUUCCAAAAAAUAGGCAUGAAUAAACCUACUAAACAUACAAAUCCGGACAAAAAUCUAGAAAAGUCGUGUAGUGUAUUCUAACCUCAAUAAGAUGCUCUUCAAAAACUGUUGAGGAACUGAAAAAAAUUGCGAAAACUGACCGCAGAAGAAGCGGUUUACUGAUGAGGAGUAUGCGCAUGCGCAGUAAAUUGACGUCCGAUCGUUUUCCUUUGCAUACUGGCGUAGAGUUUGUUUCGGGUUAUUAUCUUGCUUUUGUCUUGUGAAUCACCUGUGAACUGUGUCGUUUCAUGCAUCAGGGAGCUUUGCUCGCAGCUCAAAGGAAAAAUGUUUAGCCUAUAUAAAACAGGACAUGUUUAAUAACGGAAUGGGUGUAGUAGUGAGAGUCAAACGCGCCACAAACACACACGUGACCCUUCAGGAAAUAAUAGUGAACGUCCUGUGUUAAACUGUUCAUAUCUGCACUGCAUUUUAUCAUUUCGAAAGCGUAACUUAUUCAGUGUGUUCUACUUUAAUAUAUUAAAUGAUUUUUUCUUUGUUUAUAUUUUCGGGUGAAGUUAAUAUUUCUCAUCUUGAUGUGUAAUCUUGUAUAAGAUCCUCAUAUAUGACAUAAAGAUCAGUCUGUCAUGUUUGUUACUAUUAUUGAAGCACUGUUUUGUUUUGUGAUCAAUCCUCCAAUCACGUCCACUCUUCUCUCUCUCUCUCUCUCCGCCAAUCUCUGUGCGUGUGUGGGUGACGCACACGACGUAAAAGAGUGAAAGUGUUUAAAAAGAAGAGAAUAGUCCUCUUCUGCACUGGUAAGAAGGAGCGUGUACAUUAAAUGAGUUUAUACAAUCCUUUUGUUUUGUGUAUAUGAAUGGCUAUAUGUUAACCUUGAAUAAAAAUAACAAAUUCUAUGACAAAACCUAUAAUAAAUUAAUUUGAAAACCAGUUUGUGGACAUAUUUCCAUUGAUUUAUCAUCAACAGUUCAGAAAUGUUCAUUUGUGUUCUUCACUCGGAGUAACCCCAGAGUGCACUCUGGGGUACUACUUCACUCGUGAACUCAGUACACUAGAGGGCAGUGUGUGCUCAGAAUCUAGUGAACUGAGCCAGUGUUGCCAAAUCCGCGGUUUUCCCGCCCAAUCCCUCUUUUCGCGGUUAUUUGUGUAAAUCUGUGGUUCAAGCUAUUUCUGAUUAGCAUUUCUGCUAGUUUUGUUGUGCAGACCUGGCGACCCUGAACUGAUCCCAACACAAGACAACAGGAUAUUUCCUUGAGGAAAGAGUCGCCUACAUCAAACAACCGCCAAUGACGAGAAUGGUCAUGUUAAUGAUGGUGCGGAUCUCCGGCGUCUGAUUGGCUGUGGGGAUGAGAGGCGGGUCUAAGUGAUCGCAGCAGCGACGGCAGUAUCUGGGCGUCGGCCUGGAAGGGGGUGGGACAGACGCCACGAGGGGCAGGAGCAGAAACACACCCAACAUCACGACGCCUGCAUAGGAAGGGCACAGAAUUCUGCUUGGAAACACUGACAGGAACAUCCUGCAGCUUCAGCCGGCGACACAGGAGCGGUGUGCUGACGA